rnacentral:sRNA from 1 species
GCCAGGUGUGGUGGCGCAUGCCUGUAAUCUCCAGUAGCUAAGGAGGCUGAGACAGGAGGAUCACAAGUAAAGCCAGCCUCAGCAAAAGUGAGGUGCUAAGUAAUUCAGUGAGACCCUGUCCCUA